rnacentral:lncRNA from 1 species
AACUAUUCACGAUCUUGUGGAGGCGGCCAAACUUUUGAAGAUUCAAAGGGAAAUGGAUGAAAUAAAAAUUAUACUUGUAAGCCUUAAUAUCGAACUACAUUUGUUGCAUGUUCCUUUAGGUUUCAAGUUCGUCGUAUGCUCAUUUGUUCUUGUUGGGACAUUACUGCUAAUCUGCUACAUUUUAAAACUAGUUGAGUCUAAAAGGUUUCAUUUUUGUAUACUAUCAUUCAUUAUUGCUUUUGAAUGAUAGUUGUAUUACUUAUAACUAAUGCACGUGUAUAUUAAUGUUUACUGGCAUGAGGCCUUGAAUUUGUAUACAGGAGAUUGAAGUUAAACUUUAAUUAUGACCUUGAUUUCACAUAUAAGCAUAAUUAUGUCCGUUCAGGUCCUUGUUCAUUCAUGUUGAAAGAUUAACAAUGUACUUAUAUUUGAGCAUCAAGUAGAACAACAGUGUACUUAUAUUUGAUAAAGCUCAUAACUUGGUUAGUAAAAAUGAUGUAAAUUUGAGGUUUAGUUGGUAUCUUGUUCUAAUUUGAGGUUUAGUCGACCUAUUUGCUUCAUUUUCCUGACUUUGCUAUUAUUUUUAAAUAUGUGCAGGAAGACUGCUUCUAUGACAUGCCUUACAAUACUGGGUAUCAAAUUUUCGUGCUACGUUUACGGAAGACAAGGGAUGAAAUUAUGAACUGUACUCUCUCUAUAUAUGUAGAUAUAUACUUUGAUUGAAGAACUGUGGUAGCCUUAGAUGGUUAAUUGUAAAGAUAAUAAAUGAUUAUGUAGUGGAUGAUUUUAUUAUGUUAAUAAUAUUUUAGUUUUUUGUA